UUUCCGUAGGUGAACCUGCGGAAGGAUCAUUAGACUGUUUUUUCGGGGAAGGGAAGCAGACGCCCUUCCCCCCAUACCAAACCAUCCUGUGAAAACACCUUGAAAAUGUUAAACUACAUCUUGUAAACUGUGUAAUGUCUGAAAUAUUUCUUGAAAACAAGUUAAAACUUUCAACAACGGAUCUCUUGGUUCUCGCAUCGAUGAAGAACGCAGC
rnacentral:misc_RNA from 1 species